rnacentral:piRNA from 1 species
GAAGCAGUGUCUCCAUGGAGUCUAUUCC